AUACGGAGGGUGCAAGCGUUACUCGGAAUCACUGGGCGUAAAGCGCGCGCAGGCGGUCUUUUAAGUUGGAUGUGAAAGCCUACGGCUCAACCGUAGAACUGCAUCCAAAACUAUUAGACUAGAGUGUGGGAGAGGAAGAUGGAAUUAGUUGUGUAGGGGUAAAAUCCGUAGAGAUAUCUAGGAAUACCAAAAGCGAAGGCAAUCUUCUGGAACACUACUGACGCUGAGGCGCGAAAGCGUGGGGAGCAAACAGGAUUAGAUACCCUAGUAGUCC
rnacentral:rRNA from 1 species